UGGAGAAAAUAAGCCUGGUUAUUUUUUGGCCUAUGUUGAAACAUCAUAAGUAGAAUGAAACAGCAUAAUUUUUUCCCCCUGGGGUUCAAGAGUUUAUUUCUUUUGAUACAACAAUAAAUCAACUGACGAAAUGGAAUUUCUUUGCAAUACAUAUGCAACAAGUUAGUUUGCAUGGACAAGUUGAGCUUCAGUUUAUAUAUAGACACUCUGGAACAUUUUAUUAUAAAGCAAUAGUGCUGGAAAGCCACUUAAAGGGGUAACUGCACCAGUAACUAUGAGAAGGAGAUAUAUGAUUAACCUAGUAGAACUUAAAAAGUGAUUUCUGCAGCUUUGAAAUCAUCUACACAUGAACUCAAGCAGCAAUACGUAUUGGUUUAGAUUCUGUGCUAUCAUUGGUACAUGGUACUACACAGUGAUGCUGUUUAAAUGAAGAAAUCUACUCUUCUAAAAAAUCUUUGCCACUGAUGCCACAUACAAAUACCGUAUGGACUAGCUCUCAGAGCCAAAGCAGGAAAAAUCGCCAAAGGGUACUAUUACUAUACCCAUUUGGCAGAGGAGGAAACUGAGGAAGAGAGAAGCUAAGACACUAUAGACAAACCUUUAGAAGAACAUUAGCCAGUAAGUGCAAGCUGGAUGACUGAGAAGAGUUGGGAACUGUGGCUAAAGGUACAGAGAGACACAAGCUGUUGUCAUGAGGUCAACU
rnacentral:lncRNA from 1 species